UAAUCUGUACCAAUGCAUGCCAACCUCGCCUGCACCUAGCCUGCACCUAGCCUGCACCUACUCUGCAAGAUUCCCACGCAUGCCAACCUAAUCAAAUGUCUUCACCACCUAGUCUGCAAGAUUCCCACCUAAUCAAAUGCCAACCUAAUAUUCAAUUUUAUUUAAGCUUAAUUAUUUAUUUUAAACAACUUGAUUAACUAAAUUGAAUUAGAAACCAAUUUAAACU
rnacentral:lncRNA from 1 species